rnacentral:rRNA from 1 species
CCUACGGGAGGCAGCAGUGAGGAAUAUUGGGCAAUGGGCGGGAGCCUGAACCAGCCAAGUCGCGUGAGGGAAGACGGUCCUAGGGAGUGUAAACCUCUGUAGGCGGGGAGCAAGGCCGGGCACGUGUGCCCGGAGGGAGAGCACCUGCAGAAUAAGCAGCGGCUAACUCCGUGCCAGCAGCCGCGGUAAUACGGAGGAUGGGAGCGUUAGCCGGAUUGAUUGGGUUUAAAGGGGGCGUAGGCGGAUUUUUAAGUCAGCGGUAAAAUGUCCGGGCUCAACCCGGGCCGGCCGUUGAAACUGGGGAUCUUGAGUGGGCGAGAAGUAUGCGGAAUGCGUGGUGUAGCGGUGAAAUGCAUAGAUAUCACGCAGAACUCCGAUUGCGAAGGCAGCAUACCGGCGCCCGACUGACGCUGAGGCACGAAAGCGUGGGGAUCGAACAGGAUUAGAUACCCUUGUAGUC